rnacentral:rRNA from 1 species
GUGUGACUGCGUACCUUUUGUAUAAUGGGUCAGCGACUUAUAUUCUGUAGCAAGGUUAACCGAAUAGGGGAGCCGAAGGGAAACCGAGUCUUAACUGGGCGUUAAGUUGCAGGGUAUAGACCCGAAACCCGGUGAUCUAGCCAUGGGCAGGUUGAAGGUUGGGUAACACUAACUGGAGGACCGAACCGACUAAUGUUGAAAAAUUAGCGGAUGACUUGUGGCUGGGGGUGAAAGGCCAAUCAAACCGGGAGAUAGCUGGUUCUCCCCGAAAGCUAUUUAGGUAGCGCCUCGUGAAUUCAUCUCCGGGGGUAGAGCACUGUUUCGGCAAGGGGGUCAUCCCGACUUACCAACCCGAUGCAAACUGCGAAUACCGGAGAAUGUUAUCACGGGAGACACACGGCGGGUGCUAACGUCCGUCGUGAAGAGGGAAACAACCCAGACCGCCAGCUAAGGUCCCAAAGUCAUGGUUAAGUGGGAAACGAUGUGGGAAGGCCCAGACAGCCAGGAUGUUGGCUUAGAAGCAGCCAUCAUUUAAAGAAAGCGUAAUAGCUCACUGGUCGAGUCGGCCUGCGCGGAAGAUGUAACGGGGCUAAACCAUGCACCGAAGCUGCGGCAGCGACGCUGAUGCGUUGUUGGGUAGGGGAGCGUUCUGUAAGCCUGUGAAGGUGUGCUGUGAGGCAUGCUGGAGGUAUCAGAAGUGCGAAUGCUGACAUAAGUAACGAUAAAGCGGGUGAAAAGCCCGCUCGCCGGAAGACCAAGGGUUCCUGUCCAACGUUAAUCGGGGCAGGGUGAGUCGACCCCUAAGGCGAGGCCGAAAGGCGUAGUCGAUGGGAAACAGGUUAAUAUUCCUGUACUUGGUGUUACUGCGAAGGGGGGACGGAGAAGGCUAUGUUGGCCGGGCGACGGUUGUCCCGGUUUAAGCGUGUAGGCUGGUUUUCCAGGCAAAUCCGGAAAAUCAAGGCUGAGGCGUGAUGACGAGGCACUACGGUGCUGAAGCAACAAAUGCCCUGCUUCCAGGAAAAGCCUCUAAGCAUCAGGUAACAUCAAAUCGUACCCCAAACCGACACAGGUGGUCAGGUAGAGAAUACCAAGGCGCUUGAGAGAACUCGGGUGAAGGAACUAGGCAAAAUGGUGCCGUAACUUCGGGAGAAGGCACGCUGAUAUGUAGGUGAAGUCCCUCGCGGAUGGAGCUGAAAUCAGUCGAAGAUACCAGCUGGCUGCAACUGUUUAUUAAAAACACAGCACUGUGCAAACACGAAAGUGGACGUAUACGGUGUGACGCCUGCCCGGUGCCGGAAGGUUAAUUGAUGGGGUCAGCGCAAGCGAAGCUCUUGAUCGAAGCCCCGGUAAACGGCGGCCGUAACUAUAACGGUCCUAAGGUAGCGAAAUUCCUUGUCGGGUAAGUUCCGACCUGCACGAAUGGCGUAAUGAUGGCCAGGCUGUCUCCACCCGAGACUCAGUGAAAUUGAACUCGCUGUGAAGAUGCAGUGUACCCGCGGCAAGACGGAAAGACCCCGUGAACCUUUACUAUAGCUUGACACUGAACAUUGAGCCUUGAUGUGUAGGAUAGGUGGGAGGCUUUGAAGUGUGGACGCCAGUCUGCAUGGAGCCGACCUUGAAAUACCACCCUUUAAUGUUUGAUGUUCUAACGUUGACCCGUGAUCCGGGUUGCGGACAGUGUCUGGUGGGUAGUUUGACUGGGGCGGUCUCCUCCUAAAGAGUAACGGAGGAGCACGAAGGUUGGCUAAUCCUGGUCGGACAUCAGGAGGUUAGUGCAAUGGCAUAAGCCAGCUUGACUGCGAGCGUGACGGCGCGAGCAGGUGCGAAAGCAGGUCAUAGUGAUCCGGUGGUUCUGAAUGGAAGGGCCAUCGCUCAACGGAUAAAAGGUACUCCGGGGAUAACAGGCUGAUACCGCCCAAGAGUUCAUAUCGACGGCGGUGUUUGGCACCUCGAUGUCGGCUCAUCACAUCCUGGGGCUGAAGUAGGUCCCAAGGGUAUGGCUGUUCGCCAUUUAAAGUGGUACGCGAGCUGGGUUUAGAACGUCGUGAGACAGUUCGGUCCCUAUCUGCCGUGGGCGCUGGAGAACUGAGGGGGGCUGCUCCUAGUACGAGAGGACCGGAGUGGACGCAUCACUGGUGUUCGGGUUGUCAUGCCAAUGGCACUGCCCGGUAGCUAAAUGCGGAAGAGAUAAGUGCUGAAAGCAUCUAAGCACGAAACUUGCCCCGAGAUGAGUUCUCCCUGACCCUUUAAGGGUCCUGAAGGAACGUUGAAGACGACGACGUUGAUAGGCCGGGUGUGUAAGCGCAGCGAUGCGUUGAGCUAACCGGUACUAAUGAACCGUGAGGCUUAACCUU